GGUUAAGCGACUAAGCGUACACGGUGGAUGCCCUGGCAGUCAGAGGCGAUGAAGGACGUGCUAAUCUGCGAUAAGCGUCGGUAAGGUGAUAUGAACCGUUAUAACCGGCGAUUUCCGAAUGGGGAAACCCAGUGUGUUUCGACACACUAUCAUUAACUGAAUCCAUAGGUUAAUGAGGCGAACCGGGGGAACUGAAACAUCUAAGUACCCCGAGGAAAAGAAAUCAACCGAGAUUCCCCCAGUAGCGGCGAGCGAACGGGGAGGAGCCCAGAGCCUGAAUCAGUGUGUGUGUUAGUGGAAGCGUCUGGAAAGGCGCGCGAUACAGGGUGACAGCCCCGUACACAAAAAUGCACAUGCUGUGAGCUCGAUGAGUAGGGCGGGACACGUGGUAUCCUGUCUGAAUAUGGGGGGACCAUCCUCCAAGGCUAAAUACUCCUGACUGACCGAUAGUGAACCAGUACCGUGAGGGAAAGGCGAAAAGAACCCCGGCGAGGGGAGUGAAAAAGAACCUGAAACCGUGUACGUACAAGCAGUGGGAGCACGCUUCGGCGUGUGACUGCGUACCUUUUGUAUAAUGGGUCAGCGACUUAUAUUCUGUAGCAAGGUUAACCGAAUAGGGGAGCCGAAGGGAAACCGAGUCUUAACUGGGCGUUAAGUUGCAGGGUAUAGACCCGAAACCCGGUGAUCUAGCCAUGGGCAGGUUGAAGGUUGGGUAACACUAACUGGAGGACCGAACCGACUAAUGUUGAAAAAUUAGCGGAUGACUUGUGGCUGGGGGUGAAAGGCCAAUCAAACCGGGAGAUAGCUGGUUCUCCCCGAAAGCUAUUUAGGUAGCGCCUCGUGAAUUCAUCUCCGGGGGUAGAGCACUGUUUCGGCAAGGGGGUCAUCCCGACUUACCAACCCGAUGCAAACUGCGAAUACCGGAGAAUGUUAUCACGGGAGACACACGGCGGGUGCUAACGUCCGUCGUGAAGAGGGAAACAACCCAGACCGCCAGCUAAGGUCCCAAAGUCAUGGUUAAGUGGGAAACGAUGUGGGAAGGCCCAGACAGCCAGGAUGUUGGCUUAGAAGCAGCCAUCAUUUAAAGAAAGCGUAAUAGCUCACUGGUCGAGUCGGCCUGCGCGGAAGAUGUAACGGGGCUAAACCAUGCACCGAAGCUGCGGCAGCGACACUAUGUGUUGUUGGGUAGGGGAGCGUUCUGUAAGCCUGUGAAGGUGUGCUGUGAGGCAUGCUGGAGGUAUCAGAAGUGCGAAUGCUGACAUAAGUAACGAUAAAGCGGGUGAAAAGCCCGCUCGCCGGAAGACCAAGGGUUCCUGUCCAACGUUAAUCGGGGCAGGGUGAGUCGACCCCUAAGGCGAGGCCGAAAGGCGUAGUCGAUGGGAAACAGGUUAAUAUUCCUGUACUUGGUGUUACUGCGAAGGGGGGACGGAGAAGGCUAUGUUGGCCGGGCGACGGUUGUCCCGGUUUAAGCGUGUAGGCUGGUUUUCCAGGCAAAUCCGGAAAAUCAAGGCUGAGGCGUGAUGACGAGGCACUACGGUGCUGAAGCAACAAAUGCCCUGCUUCCAGGAAAAGCCUCUAAGCAUCAGGUAACAUCAAAUCGUACCCCAAACCGACACAGGUGGUCAGGUAGAGAAUACCAAGGCGCUUGAGAGAACUCGGGUGAAGGAACUAGGCAAAAUGGUGCCGUAACUUCGGGAGAAGGCACGCUGAUAUGUAGGUGAAGUCCCUCGCGGAUGGAGCUGAAAUCAGUCGAAGAUACCAGCUGGCUGCAACUGUUUAUUAAAAACACAGCACUGUGCAAACACGAAAGUGGACGUAUACGGUGUGACGCCUGCCCGGUGCCGGAAGGUUAAUUGAUGGGGUUAGCGCAAGCGAAGCUCUUGAUCGAAGCCCCGGUAAACGGCGGCCGUAACUAUAACGGUCCUAAGGUAGCGAAAUUCCUUGUCGGGUAAGUUCCGACCUGCACGAAUGGCGUAAUGAUGGCCAGGCUGUCUCCACCCGAGACUCAGUGAAAUUGAACUCGCUGUGAAGAUGCAGUGUACCCGCGGCAAGACGGAAAGACCCCGUGAACCUUUACUAUAGCUUGACACUGAACAUUGAGCCUUGAUGUGUAGGAUAGGUGGGAGGCUUUGAAGUGUGGACGCCAGUCUGCAUGGAGCCGACCUUGAAAUACCACCCUUUAAUGUUUGAUGUUCUAACGUUGACCCGUAAUCCGGGUUGCGGACAGUGUCUGGUGGGUAGUUUGACUGGGGCGGUCUCCUCCUAAAGAGUAACGGAGGAGCACGAAGGUUGGCUAAUCCUGGUCGGACAUCAGGAGGUUAGUGCAAUGGCAUAAGCCAGCUUGACUGCGAGCGUGACGGCGCGAGCAGGUGCGAAAGCAGGUCAUAGUGAUCCGGUGGUUCUGAAUGGAAGGGCCAUCGCUCAACGGAUAAAAGGUACUCCGGGGAUAACAGGCUGAUACCGCCCAAGAGUUCAUAUCGACGGCGGUGUUUGGCACCUCGAUGUCGGCUCAUCACAUCCUGGGGCUGAAGUAGGUCCCAAGGGUAUGGCUGUUCGCCAUUUAAAGUGGUACGCGAGCUGGGUUUAGAACGUCGUGAGACAGUUCGGUCCCUAUCUGCCGUGGGCGCUGGAGAACUGAGGGGGGCUGCUCCUAGUACGAGAGGACCGGAGUGGACGCAUCACUGGUGUUCGGGUUGUCAUGCCAAUGGCACUGCCCGGUAGCUAAAUGCGGAAGAGAUAAGUGCUGAAAGCAUCUAAGCACGAAACUUGCCCCGAGAUGAGUUCUCCCUGACCCUUUAAGGGUCCUGAAGGAACGUUGAAGACGACGACGUUGAUAGGCCGGGUGUGUAAGCGCAGCGAUGCGUUGAGCUAACCGGUACUAAUGAACCGUGAGGCUUAACCUU
rnacentral:rRNA from 1 species